GGUAUUCUUAACACAUGCAAGUCGAACGGUAGCAGGCCUUCGGGCGCUGACGAGUGGCGGACGGGUGAGUAAUGCAUAGGAAUCUGCCUAUUAGUGGGGGAUAACGUGGGGAAACUCACGCUAAUACCGCAUACGACCUACGGGUGAAAGCUGGGGACCUUCGGGCCUGGCGCUAAUAGAUGAGCCUAUGUUGGAUUAGC
rnacentral:rRNA from 1 species